rnacentral:rRNA from 1 species
UACGUAGGGCGCAAGCGUUGUCCGGAAUUAUUGGGCGUAAAGAGCUCGUAGGCGGUUUGUCGCGUCUGCUGUGAAAACCUAAGGCUCAACCUUGGGCUUGCAGUGGGUACGGGCAGACUAGAGUGCGGUAGGGGUGACUGGAAUUCCUGGUGUAGCGGUGGAAUGCGCAGAUAUCAGGAGGAACACCGAUGGCGAAGGCAGGUCACUGGGCCGCAACUGACGCUG